rnacentral:rRNA from 1 species
CUGUGAGCUCGAUGAGUAGGGCGGGACACGUGGUAUCCUGUCUGAAUAUGGGGGGACCAUCCUCCAAGGCUAAAUACUCCUGACUGACCGAUAGUGAACCAGUACCGUGAGGGAAAGGCGAAAAGAACCCCGGCGAGGGGAGUGAAAAAGAACCUGAAACCGUGUACGUACAAGCAGUGGGAGCACGCUUCGGCGUGUGACUGCGUACCUUUUGUAUAAUGGGUCAGCGACUUAUAUUCUGUAGCAAGGUUAACCGAAUAGGGGAGCCGAAGGGAAACCGAGUCUUAACUGGGCGUUAAGUUGCAGGGUAUAGACCCGAAACCCGGUGAUCUAGCCAUGGGCAGGUUGAAGGUUGGGUAACACUAACUGGAGGACCGAACCGACUAAUGUUGAAAAAUUAGCGGAUGACUUGUGGCUGGGGGUGAAAGGCCAAUCAAACCGGGAGAUAGCUGGUUCUCCCCGAAAGCUAUUUAGGUAGCGCCUCGUGAAUUCAUCUCCGGGGGUAGAGCACUGUUUCGGCAAGGGGGUCAUCCCGACUUACCAACCCGAUGCAAACUGCGAAUACCGGAGAAUGUUAUCACGGGAGACACACGGCGGGUGCUAACGUCCGUCGUGAAGAGGGAAACAACCCAGACCGCCAGCUAAGGUCCCAAAGUCAUGGUUAAGUGGGAAACGAUGUGGGAAGGCCCAGACAGCCAGGAUGUUGGCUUAGAAGCAGCCAUCAUUUAAAGAAAGCGUAAUAGCUCACUGGUCGAGUCGGCCUGCGCGGAAGAUGUAACGGGGCUAAACCAUGCACCGAAGCUGCGGCAGCGACACUAUGUGUUGUUGGGUAGGGGAGCGUUCUGUAAGCCUGUGAAGGUGUACUGUGAGGUAUGCUGGAGGUAUCAGAAGUGCGAAUGCUGACAUAAGUAACGAUAAAGCGGGUGAAAAGCCCGCUCGCCGGAAGACCAAGGGUUCCUGUCCAACGUUAAUCGGGGCAGGGUGAGUCGACCCCUAAGGCGAGGCCGAAAGGCGUAGUCGAUGGGAAACAGGUUAAUAUUCCUGUACUUGGUGUUACUGCGAAGGGGGGACGGAGAAGGCUAUGUUGGCCGGGCGACGGUUGUCCCGGUUUAAGCGUGUAGGCUGGUUUUCCAGGCAAAUCCGGAAAAUCAAGGCUGAGGCGUGAUGACGAGGCACUACGGUGCUGAAGCAACAAAUGCCCUGCUUCCAGGAAAAGCCUCUAAGCAUCAGGUAACAUCAAAUCGUACCCCAAACCGACACAGGUGGUCAGGUAGAGAAUACCAAGGCGCUUGAGAGAACUCGGGUGAAGGAACUAGGCAAAAUGGUGCCGUAACUUCGGGAGAAGGCACGCUGAUAUGUAGGUGAAG